rnacentral:tRNA from 2 species
GGGGCCUUAGCUCAGCUGGCUAGAGCGCCUGCCUUGCACGCAGGAGGUCAUCGGUUCGACUCCGAUAGGCUCCACCA